CCUACGGGAGGCAGCAGUGAGGAAUAUUGGUCAAUGGGGGAAACCCUGAAGCAGCAACGCCGCGUGGAGGAUGAAGGUUUUCGGAUUGUAAACCCCUUUUGUUAGAGAAGAUAAUGACGGUAUCUAACGAAUAAGAACCGGCUAACUCCGUGCCAGCAGCCGCGGUAAUACGGAGGGUGCAAGCGUUACUCGGAAUCACUGGGCGUAAAGAGCGCGUAGGCGGGAUAGCAAGUCAGAUGUGAAAUCCUAUGGCUUAACCAUAGAACUGCAUUUGAAACUGUUAUUCUAGAGUAUGGGAGAGGUAGGUGGAAUUCUUGGUGUAGGGGUAAAAUGCGUAGAGAUCAAGAGGAAUACUCAUUGCGAAGGCGACCUGCUAGAACGUAACUGACGCUGAUGCGCGAAAGCGUGGGGAGCAAACAGGAUUAGAUACCCUUGUAGUC
rnacentral:rRNA from 1 species